UUCAGUUUGAUCAUGGCUCAGAUUGAACGCUGGCGGCAGGCCUAACACAUGCAAGGUAACAGGAAGCAGCUUGCUGCUUUGCUGACGAGUGGCGGACGGGUGAGUAAUGUCUGGGAAACUGCCUGAUGGAGGGGGAUAACUACUGGAAACGGUAGCUAAUACCGCAUAACGUCGCAAGCACAAAGAGGGGGACCUUAGGGCCUCUUGCCAUCGGAUGUGCCCAGAUGGGAUUAGCUAGUAGGUGGGGUAACGGCUCACCUAGGCGACGAUCCCUAGCUGGUCUGAGAGGAUGACCAGCAACACUGGAACUGAGACACGGUCCAGACUCCUACGGGAGGCAGCAGUGGGGAAUAUUGCACAAUGGGCGCAAGCCUGAUGCAGCCAUGCNGCGUGUAUGAAGAAGGCCUUCGGGUUGUAAAGUACUUUCAGCGGGGAGGAAGGGAGUAAAGUUAAUACCUUUGCUCAUUGACGUUACCCGCAGAAGAAGCACCGGCUAACUCCGUGCCAGCAGCCGCGGUAAUAUUAAUCGGAAUUACUGGGCGUAAAGCGCACGCAGGCGGUUUGUUAAGUCAGAUGUGAAAUCCCCGGGCUCAACCUGGGAACUGCAUCUGAUACUGGCAAGCUUGAGUCUCGUAGAGGGGGGUAGAACAGGUGUAGCGGUGAAAUGCGUAGAGAUCUGGAGGAAUACCGGUGGCGAAGGCGGCCCCCUGGACGAAGACUGACGCUCAGGUGCGAAAGCGUGGGGAGCAAACAGGAUUAGAUACCCUGGUAGUCCACGCCGUAAACGAUGUCGACUUGGAGGUUGUGCCCUUGAGGCGUGGCUUCCGGANNUAACGCGUUCGGAGGGUGCAAGCGAAGUCGACCGCCUGGGGAGUACGGCCGCAAGGUUAAAACUCAAAUGAAUUGACGGGGGCCGCACAAGCGGUGGAGCAUGUGGUUUAAUUCGAUGCAACGCGAAGAACCUUACCUGGUCUUGACAUCCACGGAAGUUUUCAGAGAUGAGAAUGUGCCUUCGGGAACCGUGAGACAGGUGCUGCAUGGCUGUCGUCAGCUCGUGUUGUGAAAUGUUGGGUUAAGUCCCGCAACGAGCGCAACCCUUAUCCUUUGUUGCCAGCGGUCCGGCC
rnacentral:rRNA from 1 species